rnacentral:rRNA from 1 species
AGCGAACGCUGGCGGCGUGGAUUAGGCAUGCAAGUCGAGCGAGAACCGUAGCAAUACGGGGACAGCGGCGAAAGGGACAGUAAUGUGUAGGUACCUACCUCCGGGUUCGGGAUAGCUGCGGGAAACUGCAGGUAAUACCGAAUAACGUCUCCGGACCAAAGGUGUGAUUCCACCUGGAGAGGGGCCUGCAUCCUAUUAGCUUGUUGGCGGGGUAACGGCCCACCAAGGCGACGAUGGGUAGCGGGUGUGGGAGCACGACCCGCGUCAUUGGGACUGAGACACUGCCCAGACACCUACGGGUGGCUGCAGUCGAGGAUCUUCGGCAAUGGGCGCAAGCCUGACCGAGCGACGCCGCGUGCGGGAUGAAGGCCUUCGGGUUGUAAACCGCUGUCGUAGAGGAGGAAGUGCAGGGGGGUUCUCCCCUCUGUUUGACCUAUUCUAGGAGGAAGGACGGGCUAAGUUCGUGCCAGCCGCCGCGGUAA